rnacentral:lncRNA from 1 species
GUUUUCUAUUUUUUGCUAUUGUAUAAUAUUGUACAACACUGUGCAUAUCUCUUUAUCUGUGUGUCUCUAAUUGUUCCCUUAAACAGAUUUCUAGAUAUGGAUUUACUGGUCAAAGAAAAUGCAAAUUUUUAAAACUUAGAAUAAUAUAAUUGUCCUCUCCACAAUUUGCAACAGUUUAUGGUCCCACCAGCAAUAUAAAUGAGUAUUAGUGAGCCCUCAAACCAUCACUGAGUACAAUAGACUCUUGGAACUUCCCAGAAGGUUCCUAACAUGUAGUAACUGGUAACUGGUUGAGACAGGAGUGGGAAACUGUCACGACUGAUGUGAGGCGAUCACUUAGCACUCUAUGAGUCUAGCUGAAGUCUCAGAGUCUCCAUUUGGUGAAGGAGCUCUGAGCAGAGCCUUGCUGACUUUACCCUGCGGUGUGGCUGCAUCUCAGUACUGCCUCCAUCCAUCAGCGCAUUACUGGGCAGCAGCAGUCAUCGACACCCAUCAUCAUCCCUGAAUUUUUGUACAUUCAGAUAUUCUUUCAGGUCCUGUAUAACAGUGGAACUACUGAUAUCAGUUGCUCUGAAGGACCCCACUGACUCAGCUGAGCAGAGGAACACCACGAGCAGCUGACUCACCAAAGAAGGGGCCCAGGAGAGACUAAAAGCUAUGAAGGAAUUUGAUGUGGGGAACCCCAACAGAGCCAAGAAGGUACCCAGAGACUUUAGAAACUAUAGGGACUUACUUCUCAGGACCCCUUUGAAACCUAGACCUAAGAGGAUGAUUUGAUGCUGAGACAGCAUGACAUGCAGAGUGACUCAAUCCAACAGAAUGCUAAGUCUCAGUGAGCUGUCACCCCAUUCUGCACCAGAUGAAUAACUCUGCAACACUCAGAUGAUUGUGACCUCCUCCUGCCGUGCCUGCCCACAUGUCACCAGUAGAAGCAAGAAUGAACAUUUGUGAAAAAAUUAGUCUGCAUUGUCAAUUGUCAUCCUGGAGAGAAAAUGACUUGAUCUUCAGUGAUAACAGGAAUAUUACCAUCUUUCAGCCCCAUCUCAUUUUUCUUCACUUACUCAGAGUCUUACUCAGCGACCUAAUACUGAGUCUACUGAUGUCUUCACCUGCAAGAGCAACCUCCUUCCCAAAUCAGUUCCCACUCCUAACAGGAGCAGAGGCAAUAUCAGUAGCCCUUUUUUAUUUUUUUUCCUGAGACAGAGUCUUGCUCUGUCGCCCAGGCUGGAGUGCAGUGGCACAAUCUCGGUUUACUGCAACCUCUGCCUCCUGGGUUUGAGCGAUUCCCCUGCCUCAGCCUCCUGAGUAACUGGGAUUACAGGCACCUGCCACCAUGCCCGGCUGAUUUUUUGUAGUUUUAGUAGAGAUGGGGUUUCACCGUGUUGGUCAGGCUGGUCAAUUCCUGACCUCGUGAUCCACCCACCUCCCAAAGUGCUGGGAUUACAGGCAUGAGCCACUGUGCCCAGCCGCCUUUUUUGUUCUCUUCCUUGAUCUUAGGAGUUUAGGAAAUGAUCACACUCCCAGAUCCAAGAUCUGGUGUUCUACCCUCAAAGCCAAUGGACUCACAAGAUCCCACCAAGCAGAUCUAAAUGAUCUAGGACUAAUAAUGCAGGCUCUGAAGUUAGAGAGACUUAGAGUCAAAUCUGAACUCUGCCACUUAACCUUGCACAAGGCCAGUGUCUCAAUUAGGUUAGGAUAGUCAACAAUGCUAAAUAAGAAAAUUCAUUUCUCGGCUGGGCACGGUGGUUCACACCUGUAAUCCCAGCACUUUGCGAGGCCGAGGCAGGCGGAUCACGAGGUCAGGAGUUCAAGACCAGCCUGGUCAACAUGGUAAAACCCUGUCUCUGCUAAAAUACAAAAAUUAGCUGGGCGUGAUGGCACACGCCUGUAAUCCCAGCUACUCGGGAGGCUGAGGCAGGAGAAUUGCUUGAACUCAGGAGGCAGAGGCUGCAGUGAGACCAGAUGGCACCACUGCACUCCAGCCUAGGCGACAGAGCAAGACUCCAUCUCAAAAAAAGAAAAUUAAUUUCUCAUCACAAUAUACGUCCAACAUAGGUUAGUGGAAGGCAGUGCUCCAUAUUAUUACUCAAGAACCCAGGCUGAGAAAGGUUCCAUCUUAUAAUGUCACCAUCACAACACAUGGUGUUCAGGGAUACUAAGACAGGGGAAAGAUGAGGGAUGGGCCAAGUUUGAGGUUUUAACCAUCUCAUCCCAGAAAUGAUACAAUGGCAUUCCAGUUUUGGUCCAUUGGCUAGAACUAGUCAUGUAGCCCUGCCAACCUGCAAGGGCCUAAGAAUCAUCACCUUCCUUAUUACCAGAAAGUGGAGGAGAACUGGAUAUGAGUAAAUAAUUUUACUGCAGCCCAGCACACAGAGUGUGAUACUACUGUGUAGUUACUUUCUUCCUUCAAGUUUCCUGUAGGUCCAAUAGACCAAGGAUUCAUUAAGCUAAGGAAGGGCCCUGUUGUUUGUAUAACCACCCAUCAGAAGACUCUAUCCCCCAUGUCACCCUCAACCUCAAUGCCACUCCACAAUGAACAGGCUCAGUUCACCAGCAUGGGCUUAUGACCUAGGCUUUUCUUCCUAGCCAGUCUUGCCCUAUUGUCCUGCUUGAUUUUUUGGCCUGCCCCUCUAAGCUUGAGCCUUAUCCUAAUAAGAAACUUUGUAGGACUGGAAGCUUCAUAUCUUGUUCAGCUCUUGCCAGUUCUCCUUAUGAGCAGUCAAUCAAUGUUUUAGCAGUGGAGCCAUCUUGGAUCCUCAAACUUCUUGGAGGCCAAAGGGCUAAACAAUUCCCAGUCACAGCGAAUUUGCUGCCAAAGAUACACUCACUCAGCCUUUCCAAGGAAGUGACUGGAUAUGUAAAAAAGGGUUAUGUACAAAGAUGUUUAUUGAAACAUUAUUUGUAAUAGCAAAAUAUUGGGAAUAACCUAAAUGUCCACCAAAGGAGAAUGCUUAUAAAUAUGAAUCAUCCACAUGAUGGAUGUAUAAGUUAUGCCUGCCAAGUUCAUCAGGGUAAACAGAAGAGACAAAAUCAGAUUAUUUAUUAGGAUGGAGUUGAUUUCCUAACACAGUGGGACCUGCUUUCAUUUUGUUUGCCCUGCAGCUCUACUAUCCCAGAUUUUAUUGAUUCAUUUCAGGGCCAUUCUAUAGGCAGCAUCUCCACUGGGCAGCCAGGGCCCAGCUCAUGUGUAGUUGGGUAGCCUUUGCUACUGCAUUGGUCCCCAAUCCAAUCAUCUGUGAUUAGGGGAGCGGCUAGCUCUCCUCGAAAGUAGAGAAGGUUGUCCUGGCCUCUAAUGAAUUAUCCUUUAGUCAGUCUAAUUCAGUGAAAUAUUAUGUACCCUUUAAAAAUUGUAUUUACCAGAAGUUUUUAAUGACCUGGAAAAGUAUGCAGGAAAUAUCGUUAGGUUUUUAAAAUUUAUAAAAUUGAAUCUAUACUCUGACAUAUGUUAUAACAUAAAUUAACCUUAAAAGACAGACGCGGUGGCUAACGCCUGUAAUCCCAGCACUUUAGGAGGCCAAGGCGGGUGGAUCACCUGAGGUCAGGAGUUCAAGACCAGAGUGGCCAACAUGGCAAAACCCCAUCUCUACUAACAAUACAAAAUUAGUGGGGCAUGGUGGUGGGAACCUAUAAUCCCAGCUAUUCCGUAAGCUGAGGCAUGAGAAUUGCUUGAACCCGGGGGGCAGAGGUUGCAGUGAGCUAAGAUCGUGCCACUUCACACUAGCCUGGGCAAAAGAGCGAAACUCUAUCUCAAAAUAAAUAAAUAAAUAAAAAUAAAUGAACCAAGUGAAAUAAGCCAAUCAAAAAAAGGGCAAUAUUGUAUGAUUCCACUUUCUUUUUUUUUUUUUUUUUUUUUUUUUGAGAUGGAGUCUCACUCUGUAGCCCAAGCUGGAGUGCAGUGGCGUGAUCUCGGCCUUCACUACAACCUUUAUCUCUUGGGGCUCAAGCAAUUCUCCUGCCUCGGCCUCCCAAGAAGUUGGGACUAGAGGCUUGCACAACCACACCCAGUUAAUUUUAUGUAUUUUUAGUAGAGACGGGGUUUCACCAUGUUGCUCUGGGUGGUCUGGAACUCCUGAGCUCAGGCAAUCCACCCUCCUCAGCCUCCCAGAGUGGUGGGAUUAUAGGCGUGAGCCACCAUGCCCAGCCAUGAUUCCACUUACAUGAGGUCCCAGGAGUAGUAAAAUCAUAAUGACAGAAAAUAGAAGGGUGGUUGCCAGAGGCUGGAGGGAGAGGGAAAUAGGGUUUAAUGUUUAAUGGGUAUAGAGUUUCAGUUUUGCAAGAUGAAUAAAGUUCUGGAGACGAAUGGAUGGUGGUGAUGGUUGCACAACAAUGUGAAUGUACUUAAUACCACUGAACUGUACAUUUAAAAUGGCUAAAAUGGUAAAUUUUAUGUUAUGUGUAUUUUACCACAAUUUAAAGAAUUGAAUCUAUAGUUUCAUCACAAAUGUGUGAGGUUUUCUUUUUAAACAAAUGUUUGAGUAUAUGUGUGUGCAUGUGUGUGUGUAUAAUUAUGCCUAGUGUUCUGCCUUUGGUAAUGAGAGGAAGAUGCUACAGUUUCUUCCCUCAUGCUCUUCCUUUAGCUAGUGCAAGGGUUGGCAAACUGUGGCCCUUCAGCCAUGUCCAGCUUCUCAUUUGUUUUCAUAAAUAAAGUUUUAUUGAAACACAGUCAUGCCCGUUCAUUUAUGGAUUGUCUGCUUUUAUCCAACAAUGGCAGAG